CUGAGGAGGGAUCAUUA
rnacentral:rRNA from 1 species